UGCCAGCAGCCGCGGUAAUACGGGGGGGGCCAGCGUUGUUCGGAAUUAUUGGGUGUAAAGGGCGCGCAGGCGGUGCGGCAAGUCAGUUGUGAAAGCCCUCGGCUCAACCGAGGAAUUGCGACUGAAACUGCCGGACUUGAGUCCCGGAGAGGGUAGCGGAAUUCCCAGUGUAGCGGUGAAAUGCGUAGAUAUUGGGAGGAACACCAGUGGCGAAGGCGGCUACCUGGACGGGUACUGACGCUGAGGCGCGAAAGCGUGGGGAGCAAACAGGAUUAGAUA
rnacentral:rRNA from 1 species